UACAGACAGUUGCGAAAUUGUCUGGAACACAUUCUGCAUUACUAGCAUUUUAGGAGAUCAAGACUUUCUUCUCUUACACAUCCUGAUAAACAGAAGUUGAAAGGCAUGAAAACAGCUUUAAGGCCAUGUCCCAAAUGACAUCUUCAGCCCUCCAGGCCCUCCUCCACUGUCCUGUUCCAUAAAGUACCCUCAGGUCUCCUGCGUGUCUAUACUCUGCCACAUGGGCUGUUAGAAAGCACAAUAACAGCCUCGUGUUGCAGUUACGCUCAACCAUGAUAAACAGGAUUUGUGAAACAGGCCUCAGGGCAUCCAGCUGUAGGAACGCCUAAAACAAUACCAAGACCUUGUGACCUCCAACACUUGUGAGAACUCUGAAAUCUGAA
ensembl:lncRNA